rnacentral:rRNA from 1 species
AGGUGCUAAUACCGGAUAAGAAAGCAGAUCGCAUGAUCAGCUUUUAAAAAGGCGGCGUAAGCUGUCGCUAUGGGAUGGCCCGCGGUGCAUUAGCUAAGUUGGUAAGGUAAAGGCUUACCAAGGCGAUUGAUGCAUAGCCCGAGUUGAGAGACUGAUCGGGCCACAUUGGGGGACUGGAGACACGGGGCCCAAACUCCUACGGGGGGAGGGGCAGCAGUAGGGGGAAUCUUCCACAAUGGACGCAAGUCUGAUGGAGCAACGCCGCGUGAGUGAAGAAGGUUUUCGGAUCGUAAAGCUCUGUUGUUGGUGAAGAAGGAUAGAGGUAGUAACUGGCCUUUAAUUUGACGGUAAUCAACCAGAAAGUCACGGCUAACUACGUGCCAGCAGCCGCGGUAAU